rnacentral:rRNA from 1 species
UACGGAGGGAGCUAGCGUUGUUCGGAAUUACUGGGCGUAAAGCGCACGUAGGCGGCGAUUCAAGUCAGAGGUGAAAGCCCGGGGCUCAACCCCGGAACUGCCUUUGAAACUAGAUUGCUAGAAUCCUGGAGAGGCGAGUGGAAUUCCGAGUGUAGAGGUGAAGUUCGUAGAUAUUCGGAAGAACACCAGUGGCGAAGGCGACUCGCUGGACAGGUAUUGACGCUGAGGUGCGAAAGCGUGGGGAGCAAACAGG